AGGCCUUUAGGCAGCCGAUAAAGACAACUCCACGUUUGUUUUAGCUUUGCAGAUUAUACAAGGCUUUUAUAAGCAGCGGAUUCAUUCGCUUGUUGCCCAACUUGUUCUUCACGUCUUAUUUUCAAGUGGCAACAAAUCAAAAUGUCACAAGUCUUGCACAACUUAUCGAUCUUCUGGACUAACAUCCAGAUGGAGCCUGCAGUAGAACCAUUAGAACCUCUUUUGCACUAGAAGGGGCCAUUGUAUCCUAUAGGUGCAUCCAAUUUGAAGAGGACCCUGGGGAAGGCUAAGGACACUCUGGAGGGAUUAUAUAUCUGCUCUAGCCUUGGGAUGCUUUGGGACCCUUCAGUAGGAAGAAGAAGGGCCUAUCAAGUAAAUCAAUAACGGACUAAUUGAUGGAUAGAAAUGCACAUGAUGCUGAAUUCAACAUCUCACCCAUUAUAGCACAGGUAAUUUGGCAUUAAAAGCUGCUGCUCGACUGAAGAGAACAGUGACACAUACAGCACAGCACAGGAUGGACCAAUCAGACACUGCCCUGCAUCACUGUGUUCACUCUAUGGACUGAGUCAUAUUGACGAGGCUUAUCCUAACUAAAAGCUGUAGGUGAACGGAGAGGUGUGUGGACAGCAGCUUUCCACUCCCAGACAAUACAAGUCAAAGGAGUCAUGUAGCAAUAGCCCCAACACUAGACACGUGGAUUGGGCUAAUGGCCAUCAUGGAUGUAGUGGGAGGAGUGGAAAUCCAUUAAAAGGGUACUCAUAUAUACAGCUCAUUUACCAGACAUUAUCCAAGGCUGUGCUCUUAAGACCUGCAAACUGGCAGAUGUCUUCCUCAGGGAUGUGUGCUCAGCCCUGUGCUGUUCUCCCGAUUGAAAACACUUUCAUCAAUGUCACUGAUGACGUCACCCUCUUCGGUCACAUCACAGACAAAGAUGUCUAUUCCUACGGAGCAGCGGUGAAAGCACUGAUAUUGUUGUUGUCAGGAGAAUAGCCUCCUGCUCAGCAUCAGCAACACCAAGGAGCUAAUCAGGGACUACACACAGUUGCAGGGAGGGGGCAUCGGCCCGUACACCUUGAGGGAAGUGCAGUGGAGUCAACUACUUCCAGUUCCUGGGGAUUAUGAUCAGCGAAGACCUGAGCUGAUCAAGCCACACAGGUGUGAUCGCCAAGGCAGCGGGACGGCGGGAAAAAGGUUUGAGUUUUGACAGUGAUCUCAAGCCACUGGCACUGACAAUGAUGUUGUCCCGUCAGCUCAGUAAAUGCCUGCAUGUGUUGUUCUGGACAGCAUCGACCAACAGCAUUUAAUUGAUUACUUUAAAAGGCAUGUGUUGGCUUUUUUAACGUGGUAUGUUCAAUACAGCGGUGAGAGACGCGAAACAAACAUUUACUUCUAUGAAAUGUGAACUAUAUCCCGUUGAGGAGCACCAAACAUCUGAUAUUUUUUUCCCUGUAAAUUGCCAAAUUUCAGGAGUCAUAAAGUGUUUUGAGGAUUUUAGGUGCAACUUACUGAUGUGGGAGUUGUUAGAGGAGAGUUGGGUGGUCUCAUCCUGAUCCUUCACUGAUUGCAGGGCCAUAGGGGAGAAUCAGUUUAGUGCUCUCCACAGUCUAAUCAGGACCACGCAUGGGUUUUUGUCAUACAACUCAGCUCUGGAGAGGUACAACCUAAUGAAUAAAAAGAUUGUUUCAGCCUACUGAAAUCUGUUGAUUGCUCCAAAAACACGCAGCAGCAUAAUUAAGGCCUGUGUAGAUUUGUUAAGCAGGUCGGAUAUAUCAGAUAUGUUGACUCAUCCUUCCUACUUCUAAGUAGUUGUGAUUGUGAUGCCGUUGCUGGGAGGUGAAUGGGCCCAGGGGCCUCGGCAGUGACCUCAAUGGAGCUGAGAGUCAUGAAUGUAGAGAAUGCUUCAUCUCCAUAGCAGUACCGGAGAGAAACAACUGCUUGAGGAAGAGAGGGUGUGAAGGAAAAGUUAAGAUUAGCCUCUUAAGUGAUUAAAGCUCACACUGGUUUAACUGUUCUGAGUUAAGCUGCUGGUAUAAAUUAUGCUUGUAUGCAAUCCCUUUGGUUUGCAAAUCCUAGAACAACAAUAUUAUUCUGAAACAUUUAGACUAGAUUUUCUGUGUGCACGAUACACUCAGUUUAUUAAGUACACUCAGCCAAAACAAAUACGUAAUUUCAGGUUCUGCUGAGCAAUAAAGGUGAGCUAAAUGAAGUGGUAGACCAAAAUGUAUUCAGUAAUUCAUUUUUAUCUCUGCUUUGAAAGAAAAUCACUGCUUUGGACAACAACCUUGACAAACCCCGUUUGAGUCAAGCAGUGAUCAAUGUAACCUUGUGGAAACAGACAAGUGCAGCCUUCUGAAAAUACUUAUUAUCAUUCAGUUAUUUAAUCAUUCACAUAUCGCAAAAUAAUAAAAGAAUCCCUGUCAACAAAUGAGAGCAGGGAGGGAAAGCCCCAAUCGGCUUCAAGAGGUUUGGGGUGUUUCAAAAAGUCAUAUGUAAUUAAAUUAAAAAUUGUGUGGGUUAUAUCCUCCGACUGUAAGUGUUUUCUUGAAGAUUAAAGGCAAAUGCAACCACAGGGGUGUCAUCUUGUAGAGUAGGAGACAAGUUACAUCGUUUAUUUAGUUUCAUACAUUUUGCAUGUACAGACCUGUGAAAUGGGCAUAAACAGAGCUCUGAAGCAAAAGAGCAGAAAAACAGCUGAGUGUUUCUGGUUUACAUAAAAAAUAUAUCGUCCAAUGAACACGGAGCUGGGACAUGGCUGAACAAGAUUUACUUUCACUCUCAAAUAUUUCUGGGUUGUUUUUUGACAAGCUGCCAAGAGUCACUUAUCAAGGAGCCAGUAUAUUACAUCAGAAGUGCCUGUUGGAUGGUCAGAGGUUCAGAACCUCAGGCGGUGGGCCUGGUGGCUGGAGAGAACAGAACGGCCUUCAGAAGGUUGGCCCAGAGGCAGGACAGACAGAUGGGCGUCAGGUGGGCGUAAGAACCAGGCUGGUUCUCAGCAGAGACGAUGGCAAGCAAGGCAUGGGGUGGGACCCCCAACUUAUGAGCUGAUUGGACCUGAUCAGGGCACGGAGCAGUGGGAACUCCCUGGCACUGGACAAGGGAGACGACCAACAGCAUUCAGAGCUGCUUUCUCCCUAGGGGGUUUCCUGAAAGUCAGUCAGGCAGGAGGACCCAAGUACAGGCACCGAGGAGGAACCAGUUAAAUGAUUUAAUUAUGAGACUUGUAAUUUACAGGCAAGCGAACAGGAAAGCUGUGAGCACUAGAACACCAAAGUCCAGAAACCCAGGGGGACACGUGAAUGCAGGAAUGAUAAUGAGACAAACUGACAAUGACUGUGAUAUAUAGUCUUUGGCUGACGGCAGAUCACAAGCAGUUGAUGUGGGUUAGGCUUUUAGGGCUGAGAGAUUUUUAAAGAGUGAGGAGAUGGGAAGGGAAAGCCAGGUGACUGCACUGAAGGGAAACAAGGCAAGAUGGAACAGGAACCCUAACAAGAACAACUAUUAACACCGUUGAUUUAUGGCAUGGUAAGUCAACACAAUUAAUUUUGUUUUCUAAGAGUAACAAGGCCCAUUGUUCGCUUGCCUUGUCACAUAAAGGACCUACUUUUUCCUUAAAUGUAUGACUUGCUCAUGAAUCGCUGCAGAAUUGUCCAAAAUAAAAUGUAAUCCCUAAGAAAACCAUGCUGCUGAUGAAAAAAAAAAAGGGCACUUCUCGGGGACCGGUCUAUAAGUGUGUGCAAUUUGAGGCGGCUUGAUUGAGUUUAAGUGGACUGUUGGCCCUUGUCAGAGGUAUAUGCUUUGGCACUCAUUUAUUACCCUGAAUAAACAAUCAGUAAUAUUUAA